UGUCUUGUGCUGUUACUGAAUCAGUUUUCUAGGUUCUUGUCGAGAGUUUAGGCUCUUACCAGCAGUUUAAUAAUCUUAUGCUGCUGAACCCACAUUUAAAAACUUAAAAUUAUGGGGAAGGUCAAGUGAGUACCCAUCUCUCAGCUCCAAAAACAAUCAAUUCUAGGUCAGGCAACCUUUUUACUCUAACAUCUAACUUAGUAUUCAGGUUUCCUGUUUGUUUAUAAUUGGUUUGUUCAAACAAGGUCUGUAUUUGGUUUUAAUCACAAGUUGUCCAUCUUUUUCCCCCUGAAAAAUUGGGUCCUUUGUCUUGUAAUUUUCAUAUUCUGGGUUGGCUCACUGUAACCCUGUGGUGUCUCUAAACACUUUUGUUCUUCAGAUCCCAAGGUUGGUUAUUUUGAAACACAAUUGCUGCCUCAUUCACCAGGUAUCUCACCUAAGUUCCUGAUCCUAAAACGUUACUGCUUGUAUGUACAUCAGCAAUCUCAUAUGUAUGUGCCCCAUUUGUAUCUGUUCUCUUAACCUUUGUUUCCCACUACAGCUGUACUUCUG
rnacentral:lncRNA from 1 species